AUGCAGCCCGAAGAGCUUGAACCCCACACACGUAUCGACACGAUAUCCUGGGUGCCCGCAAGGGUUGGAUAUUGGGAUGCGUGGAGGCCUAACC
rnacentral:sRNA from 1 species